UACGGGGGGGGCAAGCGUUGUUCGGAAUUACUGGGCGUAAAGGGCUCGUAGGCGGCCAACUAAGUCGGAUGUGAAAUCCCCAGGCUCAACCUGGGGACUGCAUUUGAUACUGCUUGGCUUGAAUUCGGGAGAGGAUAGCGGAAUUCCCAGUGUAGAGGUGAAAUUCGUAGAUAUUGGGAAGAACACCGGUGGCGAAGGCGGCUAUCUGGACCGACAUUGACGCUGAGGCGCGAAAGCGUGGGGAGCAAACAGG
rnacentral:rRNA from 1 species